GACAGAGAUGGAGCAAAUGUUAAUAGCACCAGAGUACUGAGUCCCAACCAAGACCACUGAGGAAAUGGAGCAGUUUUGUGGCUGGAAUUUCUGAUUCCCCAGCUUGCAUGAUGCUCUUCAUAAAUCAACCCAAAUGUCAUAGAAGACUUCAUUCUCCAACCCUUUCUGGUUAGAUUCAGAAAGGAUCACUGAACUGCAGCCUGUUAGCAUUGAAGAGAUAUUAGAGAACAUCCCUAAGCCAAAAAUGUCAACAAAAUAAUAGACCACGUUAAGAGAGGAAGGAUUUCCUCAAAAGGAGGUGAACAUGUCUGUUCUUUACUCUUUACAUGUACACUUUACAUGUGAAGUCUUGGGUUCCGUUCUGGGUGCCCUAUUUCAAGAAGGAUGCUGCCAGACUGUUGAAAUAUCCAGAGGAGAAGAUCAACCAAGAAGUCAGGAAAUUAAGCUUGUUGAAGGCAUUGGAGAUUUUUAGCCUGGAGAAGAUUCAAUAAAAAUAACAUCCUCAA